rnacentral:lncRNA from 1 species
AAACAACCAACGCUGAAAGUAGUAACAAUUUAAAAAUAAAAGGUUCUUAAGCAUGUUCCUAAAAAUAAUUAUAAUUACUACGAUUAUAAUUAUGGUAAUCAAAUUAAAAAUGUUCCUAAAUAUAAUUAUAAUCAUCAUGAUUAUAAUUAUAAAAAUAAAAUCAAGUAUUUUCCUAAUUAUAAUCAAAAUUAUAAUUAUGAUUAUAAUUAUAAAAUUAAGGGUUAAUAAUGUUUUUGGUCCUUUAACUUUUUAUGAAAAUUGGAAUUAGU